rnacentral:rRNA from 1 species
CAGCCGCCGCGGGAAUACGAGGGGGGCAAGCGUUGUUCGGAAUUAUUGGGCGUAAAGGGCGCGUAGGCGGUUUGGCAAGUUUGGUGUGAAAUCUUCGGGCUCAACUCGAAGUCUGCAUCGAAAACUGCCGGGCUUGAGUAUGGGAGAGGUGAGUGGAAUUUCCGGUGUAGCGGUGAAAUGCGUAGAUAUCGGAAGGAACACCUGUGGCGAAAGCGGCUCACUGGACCAUAACUGACGCUGAGGCGCGAAAGCUAGGGGAGCAAACAGGAUUAGAUACCCCCGUAGUCCCUGUCUCUUAUAC